AUUUAUUGGUAUUCGAGGUAUAACCCGAGGUGGUUGGAGGUGGUCGGAGGUUUUUAGGAGUGGUUGCGGGGGAUCGAGGUGGACGAGGAGGACGAGGAUUUGUGCGCUGUAUGACCCGAGGUGGUCAGCAGUGGUCGUUGGAGGUGGUCGGAGGUGAUUGCGGGUGAUCGAGGUGGACGACGAGGACGAGAACUUGAGCACUGUACAACCCGAGAUGGUUAUCGGUGGUUGUUCGAGGGGG
rnacentral:lncRNA from 1 species